rnacentral:rRNA from 1 species
AUUGAACGCUGGCGGAAUGCUUUACACAUGCAAGUCGAACGGCAGCACGGACUUCGGUCUGGUGGCGAGUGGCGAACGGGUGAGUAAUGUAUCGGAACGUGCCCAGUCGUGGGGGAUAACGUAGUGGAAAUUACGCUAAUACCGCAUACGAUCUAGUGAUGAAAGCGGGGGAUCGCAAGACCUCGCGCGAUUGGAGCGGCCGAUAUCAGAUUAGGUAGUUGGUGGGGUAAAGGCCCACCAAGCCAACGAUCUGUAGCUGGUCUGAGAGGACGACCAGCCACACUGGAACUGAGACACGGUCCAGACUCCUACGGGAGGCAGCAGUGGGGAAUUUUGGACAAUGGGCGAAAGCCUGAUCCAGCCAUUCCGCGUGCAGGAUGAAGGCCCUCGGGUUGUAAACUGCUUUUGUACAGAACGAAAAGGUUUCUACUAAUACUAGGAGCUCAUGACGGUACUGUAAGAAUAAGCACCGGCUAACUACGUGCCAGCCGCCGCCGUAA